rnacentral:rRNA from 1 species
UAUGUUAUUAUUCUUCGUUGGUUCGUUAAAAAUGGAUAAAUAAAAACUUUGCAUACAAGAAUUAAUAAAAAUGUUAUAACGAAUUUAAUUAAAUGUUUUAUCAUUAUAUAUAAAGAAUUUAUGGCAAGAUAAAGUUAUAUACAACCUCAACUCAUAUGGGACUACCCCCUGAAUUUAAGCAUAUUAAUUAGGGGAGGAAAAGAAACUAACAAGGAUUUUCUUAGUAGCGGCGAGCGAAAAGAAAACAGUUCAGCACUAAGUCACUUUGUCUAUAUGGCAAAUGUGAGAUGCAGUGUAUGGAGCGUCAAUAUUCUAGUAUGAGAAAUUAACGAUUUAAGUCCUUCUUAAAUGAGGCCAUUUACCCAUAGAGGGUGCCAGGCCCGUAUAACGUUAAUGAUUACUAGAUGAUGUUUCCAAAGAGUCGUGUUGCUUGAUAGUGCAGCACUAAGUGGGUGGUAAACUCCAUCUAAAACUAAAUAUAACCAUGAGACCGAUAGUAAACAAGUACCGUGAGGGAAAGUUGAAAAGAACUCUGAAUAGAGAGUUAAACAGUACGUGAAACUGCUUAGAGGUUAAGCCCGAUGAACCUGAAUAUCCGUUAUGGAAAAUUCAUCAUUAAAAUUGUAAUAUUUAAAUAAUAUUAUGAGAAUAGUGUGCAUUUUUUCCAUAUAAGGACAUUGUAAUCUAUUAGCAUAUACCAAAUUUAUCAUAAAAUAUAACUUAUAGUUUAUUCCAAUUAAAUUGCUUGCAUUUUAACACAGAAUAAAUGUUAUUAAUUUGAUAAAGUGCUGAUAGAUUUAUAUGAUUACAGUGCGUUAAUUUUUCGGAAUUAUAUAAUGGCAUAAUUAUCAUUGAUUUUUGUGUUUAUUAUAUGCACUUGUAUGAUUAACAAUGCGAAAGAUUCAGGAUACCUUCGGGACCCGUCUUGAAACACGGACCAAGGAGUCUAACAUAUGUGCAAGUUAUUGGGAUAUAAACCUAAUAGCGUAAUUAACUUGACUAAUAAUGGGAUUAGUUUUUUAGCUAUUUAUAGCUAAUUAACACAAUCCCGGGGCGUUCUAUAUAGUUAUGUAUAAUGUAUAUUUAUAUUAUUUAUGCCUCUAACUGGAACGUACCUUGAGCAUAUAUGCUGUGACCCGAAAGAUGGUGAACUAUACUUGAUCAGGUUGAAGUCAGGGGAAACCCUGAUGGAAGACCGAAACAGUUCUGACGUGCAAAUCGAUUGUCAGAAUUGAGUAUAGGGGCGAAAGACCAAUCGAACCAUCUAGUAGCUGGUUCCUUCCGAAGUUUCCCUCAGGAUAGCUGGUGCAUUUUAAUAUUAUAUAAAAUAAUCUUAUCUGGUAAAGCGAAUGAUUAGAGGCCUUAGGGUCGAAACGAUCUUAACCUAUUCUCAAACUUUAAAUGGGUAAGAACCUUAACUUUCUUGAUAUGAAGUUCAAGGUUAUGAUAUAAUGUGCCCAGUGGGCCACUUUUGGUAAGCAGAACUGGCGCUGUGGGAUGAACCAAACGUAAUGUUACGGUGCCCAAAUUAACAACUCAUGCAGAUACCAUGAAAGGCGUUGGUUGCUUAAAACAGCAGGACGGUGAUCAUGGAAGUCGAAAUCCGCUAAGGAGUGUGUAACAACUCACCUGCCGAAGCAACUAGCCCUUAAAAUGGAUGGCGCUUAAGUUGUAUACCUAUACAUUACCGCUAAAGUAGAUGAUUUAUAUUACUUGUGAUAUAAAUUUUGAAACUUUAGUGAGUAGGAAGGUACAAUGGUAUGCGUAGAAGUGUUUGGCGUAAGCCUGCAUGGAGCUGCCAUUGGUACAGAUCUUGGUGGUAGUAGCAAAUAAUCGAAUGAGACCUUGGAGGACUGAAGUGGAGAAGGGUUUCGUGUGAACAGUGGUUGAUCACGAGUUAGUCGGUCCUAAGUUCAAGGCGAAAGCCGAAAAUUUUCAAGUAAAACAAAAAUGCCUAACUAUAUAAACAAAGCGAAUUAUAAUACACUUGAAUAAUUUUGAACGAAAGGGAAUACGGUUCCAAUUCCGUAACCUGUUGAGUAUCCGUUUGUUAUUAAAUAUGGGCCUCGUGCUCAUCCUGGCAACAGGAACGACCAUAAAGAAGCCGUCGAGAGAUAUCGGAAGAGUUUUCUUUUCUGUUUUAUAGCCGUACUACCAUGGAAGUCUUUCGCAGAGAGAUAUGGUAGAUGGGCUAGAAGAGCAUGACAUAUACUGUUGUGUCGAUAUUUUCUCCUCGGACCUUGAAAAUUUAUGGUGGGGACACGCAAACUUCUCAACAGGCCGUACCAAUAUCCGCAGCUGGUCUCCAAGGUGAAGAGUCUCUAGUCGAUAGAAUAAUGUAGGUAAGGGAAGUCGGCAAAUUAGAUCCGUAACUUCGGGAUAAGGAUUGGCUCUGAAGAUUGAGAUAGUCGGGCUUGAUUGGGAAACAAUAACAUGGUUUAUGUGCUCGUUCUGGGUAAAUAGAGUUUCUAGCAUUUAUGUUAGUUACUUGUUCCCCGGAUAGUUUAGUUACGUAGCCAAUUGUGGAACUUUCUUGCUAAAAUUUUUAAGAAUACUAUUUGGGUUAAACCAAUUAGUUCUUAUUAAUUAUAACGAUUAUCAAUUAACAAUCAAUUCAGAACUGGCACGGACUUGGGGAAUCCGACUGUCUAAUUAAAACAAAGCAUUGUGAUGGCCCUAGCGGGUGUUGACACAAUGUGAUUUCUGCCCAGUGCUCUGAAUGUCAAAGUGAAGAAAUUCAAGUAAGCGCGGGUCAACGGCGGGAGUAACUAUGACUCUCUUAAGGUAGCCAAAUGCCUCGUCAUCUAAUUAGUGACGCGCAUGAAUGGAUUAACGAGAUUCCUACUGUCCCACCGAGCCUCUUUUCGGUACCACGGGUUGAGCAGCUAUCCAAGACUGCUCAUUGAGGUAGGCCCCCUGGUGGGAGUAUCGUGGUGGCUGUGGUUGGUACCCAUAUCGCGGGUAGAGCCUUCAUGCUCGACGUUUGAGUUACGGUGCUAGUUGCGCAAAACUCGGGUGCUGUGACCCAGAGAUCAGUAGAGAUUUUAGGUAGAUCUCGCUCCUCAGCAAGGGGGAGUGCUUGCCCGGCAAGCAAGUACUCGAAUUGCUACCGGGGUGGUCGCUAUGUACAUAGCUAUAGCUUCUAGUCCGGGACGCUUGUCUGGCGUAUCCAGACACAUGCACCAUAUGCUCACUUGUGGGCGUAUAGGGUGCCGUGGUUGUAAUCCCUUCAGUGUGGAACACGCCACGUAAAAUAAGUUCGGAGGGAUCCGAAAAGCAUACAUUGUCCCUAUCUACUAUCUAGCGAAACCACAGCCAAGGGAACGGGCUUGGAAUAAUUAGCGGGGAAAGAAGACCCUUUUGAGCUUGACUCUAAUCUGGCAGUGUAAGGAGACAUAAGAGGUGUAGAAUAAGUGGGAGAUAUUAGACCUCGGUUUGGUAUCGUCAAUGAAAUACCACUACUCUUAUUGUUUCCUUACUUACUUGAUUAAAUGGAACGUGUAUCAUUUCCUAGCCAUUAUACGGAUAUAUUUAUUAUAUCUUAUGGUAUUGGGUUUUGAUGCAAGCUUCUUGAUCAAAGUAUCACGAGUUUGUUAUAUAAUCGCAAACAAAUUCUUUAAUAAAACGAUGCAUUUAUGUAUUUUUGAUUUGAAAAUUUGGUAUAACUCCAAUUACUCAGGUAUGAUCCAAUUCA